AAACCCCCCUUUUCGGGAGGAUACCCCCUGAGAUUUAACAUAUAAAUAAAAGGAGAAAAAGAAAAUUUUAAGGAUUCCCCCCUAAAAGGGGAGAGAAACGG
rnacentral:rRNA from 1 species